rnacentral:rRNA from 1 species
UACGUAGGGGGCAAGCGUUGUCCGGAACCAUUGGGCGUAAAGAGCGCGUAGGCGGUCCGGUAAGUCCGCUCUGAAAGUCCGGGGCUCAACCCCGGGAGGCGGGCGGAUACUGUCGGGCUAGAGUCCGGAAGAGGCGAGUGGAAUUCCUGGUGUAGCGGUGAAAUGCGCAGAUAUCAGGAGGAACACCAAUGGCGAAGGCAGCUCGCUGGGACGGUACUGACGCUGAGGCGCGAAAGCGUGGGGAGCAAACAGG